CCUACGUGAGACUGCAGUGGGGAAUAUUGGGCAAUGGGCGCAAGCCUGACCCAGCAACGCCGCGUGAAGGAAGAAGGCUUUCGGGUUGUAAACUUCUUUUCUCAGGGACGAAGCAAGUGACGGUACCUGAGGAAUAAGCCACGGCUAACUACGUGCCAGCAGCCGCGGUAAUACGUAGGUGGCAAGCGUUAUCCGGAUUUACUGGGUGUAAAGGGCGUGUAGGCGGGAAAGCAAGUCAGAUGUGAAAACCAUGGGCUCAACCUGUGGCCUGCAUUUGAAACUGUUUUUCUGGAGUACUGGAGAGGCAGACGGAAUUCCUAGUGUAGCGGUGAAAUGCGUAGAUAUUAGGAGGAACACCAGUGGCGAAGGCGGUCUGCUGGACAGCAACUGACGCUGAGGCGCGAAAGCGUGGGGAGCAAACAGGAUUAGAUACCCGAGUAGUC
rnacentral:rRNA from 1 species